rnacentral:rRNA from 1 species
CCAGACUCCUACGGGAGGCAGCAGUGAGGAAUAUUGGUCAAUGGACGCGAGCCUGAACCAGCCAAGUCGCGUGAGGGAUGACGGCCCUACGGGUUGUAAACCUCUUUUGUCGGGGAGCAAAUUCCGUUACGUGUAACGGAGUCGAGAGUACCCGAAGAAAAAGCAUCGGCUAACUCCGUGCCAGCAGCCGCGGUAAUACGGAGGAUGCGAGCGUUAUCCGGAUUUAUUGGGUUUAAAGGGUGCGUAGGCGGGCUGUUAAGUCAGCGGUCAAAUGUCGGGGCUCAACCCCGGCCUGCCGUUGAAACUGGCGGCCUCGAGUGGGCGAGAAGUAUGCGGAAUGCGUGGUGUAGCGGUGAAAUGCAUAGAUAUCACGCAGAACUCCGAUUGCGAAGGCAGCAUACCGGCGCCCGACUGACGCUGAGGCACGAAAGCGUGGGUAUCGAACAGGAUUAGAUACCCCCGUAUAC